ACAGAAGCCACUAAGACUUAAUGACACGGCCCACCCCUAUUGCUAAUGGUUUUGUCGGUGUCUGGACCCUAGAAAUUCAGGGUUUUCUCCUUCUUCCUCUGCCUGCUUUGGUCCGUGUCCGACUACCUUGCCGAACGUUAAGUUGCUUUUUAAAGUCCACUAAGCAAUCUGUGGCUUCUGAAAUGGAAACAAAAGACUUGAUGGGAGACUCAUUUAAGUCGAGAUGUGCAAGGGAACUCUGCAUCUCUUUGCUGCAGCCUGCCUCUUCCAUCCCUGGUGAGGGCAUCCUAGAGAGAAGGGGGAAAAAUCCAGAAUUCAGGAUACACCUACUAAAAAGCACUAAGUUUUGUGUCAUGCAUUGUACAAGGGCUUUUACACAUCAUUAUUUUAUAUAAUCUUUGUAAUAAUCCAACCAGAUGAGCACUAUCAUUCCCCUUUCAAAGAUAAGGACAUUGGGUAAAUUAUAUACCCAAAGCCACACAACAGAUAGUGAGAGAAUGAGAAUUCAUACCCAAAUUCCCAAACUUUUUUAAAAUUAUUUUUUUGCCAAAUUCCCAAACAUCUUGAAAUCUAGGUUGGAAAACCAGGGUUAGGAGGCAAGAAUAAGUCACAACUCUGAUUCUGCCUGUUUUAACACCAUGAAACUGAACUAGCCAUCCAAUUCUUAGCCCAGAUAUAUUGGGGGGUGGGGUAUCAUAAGAGAAGUCACACAGUUCCGUGGUGAUUUCUAGCUUAAUAUCCACUAUACACAGAACCCAGGACCUGGUCUGUACUUUUCUAGAACUGCUGACAGCCAUACUUCAACGUAUGCCCUAAUUCACCUGAAGCCUGUUUCUGAAGACUUGGUCUUUAUUUCUGCAUCUGUAAGAAGAGAGAGAAAAAAAAAUAAUGUUGUUAACAGUGUUGUAAUCAUACCACUUCUCUCUGCUCAUAUGCUUCCUGUGUUCUGGGUGCUGUUUUUUCAUCAGUCUUAUACAGGUAGCUCAGAUCCCCAUCCCCAUAAAAUGUGAGCAUUAGCAUCUAACAGGCUCAGUUGUGUCAAAAGUAUAAGGUGAACACUUCUGAAUGAACAACCUCUGAAUAAUCUACUUCAAAUCUGGACUUGCGGAACAAGGAGCUGCCAAGGGAAAUCUGCCACCUGCAGAGAUUUGCAACAUGCUGGUCUAGAGGCAGCAGGGAGAGGCUGCCUUUUUAUAGUCAUCAGAAGGCAAAACAGAUUUGCUUAGUGGCAAUGAACUAUCAGAACUAGAAGGACUAUUUUGGCUAUUUUGGAUCCCUUGAACUUCCCAAUCUCAAAAAAUGGAGUCAUUAUUAAACCAGUUGCCUAAGGUUCCUCCUUGCAAGAUCCCUGGGCAACAUCACAGGCCAUCAUCCCAAACAGACUGAGUGACUUCCUAACAAGAUGGCAUAAGUCACAAUCCAAGAUGGGGACAAAAUUUUCUUUUCACAAAGAUAGCACAGCAUUCUUGAGUGCUCCUGCUAAAAUCAGAGCACUUGGUAGUGGAGUCUCUUAGUAUCAUUAGGCAGUAAUCCAAAUACAUUUUAUACAAAUUAAGAAAUCACUUUCAAUAAAAAGCAACAUAAUUAAACUUAAAAAUAAGUAAAGAAAGGCCUUUAUGAUGCUGCCAAAUGUUUAUAAAUGUUUAUAGGUCUUUCCUAGAAUGUGUACACUAAGUUUAUUAAGUCUCCAUAGAAAAAAGUUGAAAGAAAUCAAAAUAAGAAAACUAUGUGUCUUUCUCACCCUGACAGGUUAUAUGAGACUUAAGGAAAAAUUAGGCAUGACUUAUGGUAGCAUGAGUUCAACACUUACUGCCUAAAGAGUUUAAACAUUGACAGGAGCCCCCCAAUUUCAUAUGAAUGAGGUUACUGAUACAUAUAAUGGACCCCACUUUUAAGGAAAGCAAAAAAGAAAACAUAAGCUAAAACUAAUUCCUUAAAAAGUAGUGGCUUAAAUCACAAAAUAGGGACGUCUGGGUGGCUCAGUGGUUGAGCAUCUUCUUUGGCUCAGGGCAUGAUCCUGGAGUUCAAGGAUCGAGUCCCACAUCGGGCUCCCUGCAUGGAACCUCUUCUGCCUAUGUCUCUGUCUCUCUCCCUCUGUGUCUCUUAUGAAUAAAUAAAUAAAAUCUUUUUAAAAAAAUCACAAAAUAAUUCUUCAUUUUACAUAAUGAUU